rnacentral:rRNA from 1 species
CCUACGGGAGGCAGCAGUGGGGAAUAUUGCACAAUGGGGGAAACCCUGAUGCAGCAACGCCGCGUGAAGGAAGACGGUUUUCGGAUUGUAAACUUCUGUUCUUAGUGAAGAAUAAUGACGGUAGCUAAGGAGCAAGCCACGGCUAACUACGUGCCAGCAGCCGCGGUAAUACGUAGGUGGCAAGCGUUGUCCGGAUUUACUGGGUGUAAAGGGCGUGUAGCCGGGAAGGCAAGUCAGAUGUGAAAUCUGGAGGCUCAACCUCCAAAUUGCAUUUGAAACUGUUUUUCUUGAGUACUGGAGAGGCAGACGGAAUUCCUUGUGUAGCGGUGAAAUGCGUAGAUAUAAGGAGGAACACCAGUGGCGAAGGCGGUCUGCUGGACAGCAACUGACGGUGAGGCGCGAAAGCGUGGGGAGCAAACAGGAUUAGAUACCCGGGUAGUC